GAGCAGAUGGGGUUCAGGGUGGGGCCAUCGAGUGAGGAGGGGCUUGGCGGUGCCUGAGCCAGGGUGUUGCCCAGGCAGCUGGGCACAUGGGCCUGGUGCUGGAGUGGGCCAAACUGCCCCAGCAGGCCCCAGGGAAGGACGGCAGGCUGGGAUGCCGUCCCCACGGACUCCCUCUCCUCUCUUAGCCCUGGCACUAAGUGCGUUCCUCUGGCAAAGAAGAAAAUAAUUUCUGUCCCUCGCCAUCUGCUGCAUGGGAAGAUGGGAAUGGAGUGAGCACGGUAUGAGGGGAUCAGGAACGUCAAGGGGCUGUGUCCAGCUGCCCAAACCAUCCAAGAGGCCGGCACCGUGCUGAGGACAGUGGCGGGGACAGGAGCCAAGGUUCAUCAUCGUACCCCAAGGCCUGGGCAAGACAGAUGCUGCGUCCUGCAAUGGCCCCACCAUGGACCCUCGUCAUCCAACCGAAGUCGCCCCCUUGCCUGGCUUUAUCUUCACUAUAUUGUGAGGCUGCUUCAUUGAAUCUUAUCCCAGACUUUAACUUUUCCAUGACUGCCGUGAUUUUGCCAUGUUGUUCACACAGAGUGUGUCUGACCUUAGCUGCAUUGCCACCGCCUUUGGGACCCUGAGCCUUCUUGCCAGCACUGUCACUCCCAGAGGUUGCUUCCACUUUCCCCUUUUCCAGAACCACUUGUUCCUUUGGGUGGCAUCCUGGAAACUUGCUGUUGAAGUCUCAACUGCCUCAGUGGUUCUUCAAGGGAGGUCCUCAGGCCACCACCUGAGAAAUUGUUAGAAAUGCAAGUUUCUGGGCUGCAUCCCAGACCUGCUGAAUCAGAAAUUUGGGGAGGUGAGGCCCAGAAUCUGUGUUUUAACAAGCCCCCCUCAAAAUUCGGAUGCCCUAUAAGGGUUUGAAAACCACUGGGGGUGGGUGGGGGAGUGGGCAGAGGCCUGUUCUGCUGCACACCAUGCUGGGUCCAGAGUGAACAGAUGGAGGGGAGAAGCCCCAUCAGCUGCCCCUGGGGACAGCCUUUUCAGAGGGAAGGUAGAACUGUGCACCCAAAAACACAGGGGAGGCAAUGCCUAGAACCAAGUGAGCAUCAGAGACAGAAAGUCCUGUGCGGGAGAGCUGGGUGGAACCUGGUGGGUGGGUAGCGUGGGGCAGAAUUGGGAGAGAGACACAGUGACCGGGUGUCCCAGUUCCCAGGGUUGCUAACUGCUCACGUGCCAGCUUGAAAAUGAUUAGUUUCUAGGGAGGGGUCUACACCCAAUUUGCUGGCUCACUCUCCAUCACUGUCCUCCACAUCCCCCAGUCCCUGGACAUACAGGGUCAGCCCCACCGACUUAUUAUGGGGAUUCCUGGAGAGGCAGCCUGUUUUGUGGGGGCCUGUCAAGGCACUGCCAGUCCCGGGCUCAGGGUGUGGAGGCUCAGCGGCAGCACAGAAAAAGGGAACCUGGGGCGGGAGUGGGGGUGGUCUUUGGGCCUUCCUCCUUCAUUCUAGCACUGGGCUGAUGGGAGAAGCCAGAUGAGCCAGAAGAGAAUUCAGGGUGUGGCAAUGCUGAGCUCAAGGAGCAAGUAGUUCAAGAGAGAAGUGAAGCAACAGGAGCACGGACUUUGGCACCAGAGAGCUGGGUGCAGCUCUCAGCUCUGCGUCAUCCUUGCUGUGGGACCCUGGGUUAUUGCUGAGCCACUGUGAGUCUGUUUCCUCGUGGGUAUAGUAGGGUAAGUAAUAGUGCCUACCUCAGAACAUUAGUGUGAGGCCUCGAGGGGUAUAUACUAAGAACCAACAUUUGUUCAGCAUUUGCCUUGUGCCAGGCCUUUGCAAUGCCCUUUAUACACAGCACCUCAUAGGAACCUCACAGCAACCCCCCGGGUGGGCACCAUUAUUAUCCCCAUUUUACAGAUGAGGAAGUGGAGGCUCAGAGGGAUACAUUGCUAAGUUUCACUAGUGAGUGUUCCUGGCAAGUGGCAGAGCCGUCUACUUCCAAAGUCAUGUGUUGACUCACCUCACUAUGCUGUCUCUAAUGCCACAAACCUUCAUGUGGGGCUGAUUUGUGGUGAAAAAUUGAGGGUGACAGCUUUUGGUUUCUUUGUUCCUUCUGCUCUAGUCCCCUCAGCCCCCAGCCCUGCCCCCUCUCAGAACUCAGCCACAGAAAGCUGGCCCUGGAACCACGA
rnacentral:lncRNA from 1 species